rnacentral:rRNA from 1 species
AACGAACGCUGGCGGCAGGCCUAAUACAUGCAAGUCGAGCGGGUGUAGCAAUACAUCAGCGGCGCACGGGUGCGUAACACGUGGGAAUAUGCCUCUUGGUGCGGAAUAACACAGGGGAACUUGUGCUAAUACCGCAUAAUGACUCCGGUCCAAAGAUUUAUCGCCAAGAGAUUAGCCCGCGUCUGAUUAGCUAGUUGGUGAGGUAAUGGCUCACCAAGGCGACGAUCAGUAGCUGGUCUUAGAGGAUGAUCAGCCACACUGGAACUGAGACACGGUCCAGACUCCUACGGGAGGCAGCAGUAAGGAAUAUUGGACAAUGGGCGAAAGCCUGAUCCAGCCAUGCCGCGUGAGUGAUGAAGGCCUUCGGGUUGUAAAGCUCUUUUGUCCGGGACGAUGAUGACGGUACCGGAAGAAUAAGCCCCGGCUAACUUCGUGCCAGCCGCCGCGGUAA